rnacentral:tRNA from 1 species
UCCCAGGUGUCUCAGCAGGUAAAGAAUCUGCCUGCAGUUCAGGAGACUCGGGUUCAUUCCCUGGCCUGGGAA